rnacentral:rRNA from 1 species
GACGAACGCUGGCGGCGUGCCUAAUACAUGCAAGUCGAGCGGACAGAAGGGAGCUUGCUCCCGGAAGUCAGCGGCGGACGGGUGAGUAACACGUGGGCAACCUGCCCUGCAGAUUGGGAUAACUCCGGGAAACCGGGGCUAAUACCGAAUAACAUUGGAAACCUCAUGGUUUCCUUUUAAAAGGCGGCUUCGGCUGUCACUGCAGGAUGGGCCCGCGGCGCAUUAGCUAGUUGGUGAGGUAACGGCUCACCAAGGCGACGAUGCGUAGCCGACCUGGGAGGGUGAUCGGCCACGCUGGGACUGAGACACGGCCCAGACUCCUACGGGAGGCAGCAGUAGGGAAUCUUCCGCAAUGGACGAAAGUCUGACGGAGCAACGCCGCGUGAGUGAAGAAGGUUUUCGGAUCGUAAAACUCUGUUGUCAGGGAAGAACAAGUACGGUAGUAACUGCCCGUACCUUGACGGUACCUGGCCAGAAAGCCACGGCUAACUACGUGCCAGCCGCCGCAGUAAGAC